rnacentral:rRNA from 1 species
UUACACAUGCAAGUCGAACGGCAGCACGGGUGCUUGCACCUGGUGGCGAGUGGCGAACGGGUGAGUAAUACAUCGGAACAUGUCCUGUAGUGGGGGAUAGCCCGGCGAAAGCCGGAUUAAUACCGCAUACGAUCUACGGAUGAAAGCGGGGGACCUUCGGGCCUCGCGCUAUAGGGUUGGCCGAUGGCUGAUUAGCUAGUUGGUGGGGUAAAGGCCUACCAAGGCGACGAUCAGUAGCUGGUCUGAGAGGACGACCAGCCACACUGGGACUGAGACACGGCCCAGACUCCUACGGGAGGCAGCAGUGGGGAAUUUUGGACAAUGGGCGAAAGCCUGAUCCAGCAAUGCCGCGUGUGUGAAGAAGGCCUUCGGGUUGUAAAGCACUUUUGUCCGGAAAGAAAUCCUUGGUUCUAAUAUAGCCGGGGGAUGACGGUACCGGAAGAAUAAGCACCGGCUAACUACGUGCCAGCAGCCGCGGUAAUACGUAGGGUGCGAGCGUUAAUCGGAAUUACUGGGCGUAAAGCGUGCGCAGGCGGUUUGCUAAGACCGAUGUGAAAUCCCCGGGCUCAACCUGGGAACUGCAUUGGUGACUGGCAGGCUAGAGUAUGGCAGAGGGGGGUAGAAUUCCACGUGUAGCAGUGAAAUGCGUAGAGAUGUGGAGGAAUACCGAUGGCGAAGGCAGCCCCCUGGGCCAAUACUGACGCUCAUGCACG